rnacentral:rRNA from 1 species
GAUGAACGCUGGCGGCGUGCCUAAUACAUGCAAGUCGAGCGAACAGACGAGGAGCUUGCUCCUCUGACGUUAGCGGCGGACGGGUGAGUAACACGUGGAUAACCUACCUAUAAGACUGGGAUAACUUCGGGAAACCGGAGCUAAUACCGGAUAAUAUAUUGAACCGCAUGGUUCAAUAGUGAAAGACGGUUUUGCUGUCACUUAUAGAUGGAUCCGCGCCGCAUUAGCUAGUUGGUAAGGUAACGGCUUACCAAGGCGACGAUGCGUAGCCGACCUGAGAGGGUGAUCGGCCACACUGGAACUGAGACACGGUCCAGACUCCUACGGGAGGCAGCAGUAGGGAAUCUUCCGCAAUGGGCGAAAGCCUGACGGAGCAACGCCGCGUGAGUGAUGAAGGUCUUCGGAUCGUAAAACUCUGUAAUUAGGGAAGAACAAAUGUGUAAGUAACUAUGCACGUCUUGACGGUACCUAAUCAGAAAACCACGGCUAACUACGU